rnacentral:rRNA from 1 species
GUGAACGCUGGCGGUAGGCCUAACCCAUGCAAGUCGAACGGCAGCACAGUAAGAGCUUGCUCUUACGGGUGGCGAGUGGCGGACGGGUGAGGAAUACAUCGGAAUCUACUUUUUCGUGGGGAUAACGUAGGGAAACUUACGCUAAUACCGCAUACGACCUACGGGUGAAAGCAGGGGAUCUUCGUACCUUGCGCGAUUGAAUGAGCCGAUGUCGGAUUAGCUAGUUGGCGGGGUAAAGGCCCACCAAGGCGACGAUCCGUAGCUGGUCUGAGAGGAUGAUCAGCCACACUGGAACUGAGACACGGUCCAGACUCCUACGGGAGGCAGCAGUGGGGAAUAUUGGACAAUGGGCGCAAGCCUGAUCCAGCCAUACCGCGUGGGUGAAGAAGGCCUUCGGGUUGUAAAGCCCUUUUGUUGGGAAAGAAAAGCAGCAGGUUAAUACCCCGCUGUUCUGACGGUACCCAAAGAAUAAGCACCGGCUAACUUCGUG